ACUCAAAUUAUAGAGCCAGAAUGAUGUGA
rnacentral:piRNA from 1 species